rnacentral:rRNA from 1 species
GAACGAGUUCUCGUUGAUGAUCGGUGCUUGCACCGAGAUUCAACAUGGAACGAGUGGCGGACGGGUGAGUAACACGUGGGUAACCUGCCCUUAAGUGGGGGAUAACAUUUGGAAACAGAUGCUAAUACCGCAUAGAUCCAAGAACCGCAUGGUUCUUGGCUGAAAGAUGGCGUAAGCUAUCGCUUUUGGAUGGACCCGCGGCGUAUUAGCUAGUUGGUGAGGUAAUGGCUCACCAAGGCGAUGAUACGUAGCCGAACUGAGAGGUUGAUCGGCCACGUUGGGACUGAGACACGGCCCAAACUCCUACGGGAGGCAGCAGUAGGGAAUCUUCCACAAUGGACGCAAGUCUGAUGGAGCAACGCCGCGUGAGUGAAGAAGGCUUUCGGGUCGUAAAACUCUGUUGUUGGAGAAGAAUGGUCGGCAGAGUAACUGUUGUCGGCGUGACGGUAUCCAACCAGAAAGCCACGGCUAACUACGUGCCAGCAGCCGCGGUAAUACGUAGGUGGCAAGCGUUAUCCGGAUUUAUUGGGCGUAAAGCGAGCGCAGGCGGUUUUUUAAGUCUGAUGUGAAAGCCCUCGGCUUAACCGAGGAAGCGCAUCGGAAACUGGGAAACUUGAGUGCAGAAGAGGACAGUGGAACUCCAUGUGUAGCGGUGAAAUGCGUAGAUAUAUGGAAGAACACCAGUGGCGAAGGCGGCUGUCUGGUCUGUAACUGACGCUGAGGCUCGAAAGCAUGGGUAGCGAACAGGAUUAGAUACCCUGGUAGUCCAUGCCGUAAACGAUGAAUGCUAGGUGUUGGAGGGUUUCCGCCCUUCAGUGCCGCAGCUAACGCAUUA